AAGCCUCUACAAGGGAGCUUUAUGAGAGGGUGUGUAGCCUUCGUGGAGUAGAAAAAGAAAAGGUACUUAUUUGGGACUAUUUCAAUAAACGGCAGCAUUCAAGGCUGAGUAACUCAAACCAAACUUUGGAGGAGGCAAACUUGCAGAUGGAUCAAGAAAUUCUUCUUGAGGUGCAAGAUGUAAAUAAUGCUUCUCCAUUCGGUAAGGAUUCAACAAGAAAUGAGUUGGCUUU